AAAUUUUUAUUUCUAAUGGCAUACCUAUGCAAUUACUUACAAAAAUUAAGGUUACAUUUAAAAUGUACUUCCCAAAUAAUAUAGUAGGAUAUUCAAAUGUGUAAC
rnacentral:sRNA from 1 species